rnacentral:rRNA from 1 species
CCUACGGGAGGUAGCAGUGAGGAAUAUUGGUCAAUGGACGAGAGUCUGAACCAGCCAAGUAGCGUGAAGGAUGACUGCCCUAUGGGUUGUAAACUUCUUUUAUAUGGGAAUAAAAUGUUCCACGUGUGGGAUUUUGUAUGUACCAUAUGAAUAAGGAUCGGCUAACUCCGUGCCAGCAGCCGCGGUAAUACGGAGGAUCCGAGCGUUAUCCGGAUUUAUUGGGGUUAAAGGGAGCGUAGGUGGAUUGUUAAGUCAGUGGUGAAAGUUUGCGGCUCAACCGUAAAAUUGCAGUUGAAACUGGCAGUCUUGAGUACAGUAGAGGUGGGCGGAAUUCGUGGUGUAGCGGUGAAAUGCUUAGAUAUCACGAAGAACUCCGAUUGCGAAGGCAGCUCACUGGCCUGCAACUGACACUGAGGCUCGAAAGUGUGGGUAUCGAACAGGAUUAGAUACCCGAGUAGUC